rnacentral:rRNA from 1 species
GACGAACGCUGGCGGCGUGCUUAACACAUGCAAGUCGAACGAUGAAGAAAAGAAUCGAAGCUUCGGCAGAAAUUCAUUUCGGAUUAGUGGCAGACGGGUGAGUAACGCGUGAGCAACCUACCUCUUACAAAGGGAUAGCCUCGGGAAACCGGGAUUAAUACCAUAUAACAUUGUGACGAAGCAUUUCGAUGCAAUCAAAGCUACGGCGGUAAGAGAUGGGCUCGCGUCCCAUUAACCGGAUGGUGAGGUAACGGCUCACCAUAGUGACGAUGGGUAACCGGCCUGAGAGGGUGAACGGUCACACUGGAACUGAGACACGGUCCAGACUCCUACGGGAGGCAGCAGUGGGGAAUAUUGCACAAUGGAGGGAACUCUGAUGCAGCGACGCCGCGUGAGUGAUGAAGGAAUUCGUUUCAUAAAACUCUGUUCUAUGGGAAGAAAAGGACUGUACCAUAGGAGAAAGCUCCGGCUAAAUACGUG